rnacentral:rRNA from 1 species
CCUACGGGUGGCAGCAGUGAGGAAUAUUGGUCAAUGGGCGCGAGCCUGAACCAGCCAAGUAGCGUGAAGGAUGACUGCCCUACGGGUUGUAAACUUCUUUUAUAAAGGAAUAAAGUUACGCACGUGUGCCUUUUUGUGUGUACUUUAUGAAUAAGGAUCGGCUAACUCCGUGCCAGCAGCCGCGGUAAUACGGAGGAUCCGAGCGUUCUCCGGAUUUAUUGGGUUUAAAGGGAGCGUAGAUGGGUUUUUAAGUCAGUUGUGAAAGUUUGCGACUCAACCGUAAAAUUGCAAUUGAUACUGGCAGCCUUGAGUACAGUUGAGGUAGGCGGAAUGCGUGGUGUAGCGGUGAAAUGCUUAGAUAUCACGAAGAACUCCGAUUGCGAAGGCAGCUUACUAAACUGCCACUGACAUUGAUGCUCGAAAGUGUGGGUAUCAAACAGGAUUAGAUACCCGUGUAGUC